rnacentral:rRNA from 1 species
CGGGGGGAGCAAGCGUUGUUCGGAUUUACUGGGCGUAAAGGGCGCGUAGGCGGCCAGCGCAAGUCAGUUGUGAAAUCUCCGGGCUUAACUCGGAAAGGUCAACUGAUACUGCGCGGCUAGAGUGCAGAAGGGGCAACUGGAAUUCUCGGUGUAGCGGUGAAAUGCGUAGAUAUCGAGAGGAACACCUGCGGCGAAGGCGGGUUGCUGGGCUGACACUGACGCUGAGGCGCGAAAGCCAGGGGAGCGAACGGGAUUAGAUACCCCGGUAGUCCUGGCCUUAAACGAUGGAUGCUUGGUGUCUGGAGUUUUAUAGUCUCCGGGUGCCGUAGCUAACGCGUUAAGCAUCCCGCCUGGGGAGUACGGUCGCAAGACUG